rnacentral:rRNA from 1 species
AUACGGAGGAUCCGAGCGUUAUCCGGAUUUAUUGGGUUUAAAGGGUGCGCAGGCGGGAGAUUAAGUCGGCGGUGAAAUUUUGCAGCUCAACUGGAAAAGUGCCUUCGAAACUGGUUUCCUUGAGUGUAGAUGAAGUAGGCGGAAUUUGUGGUGUAGCGGUGAAAUGCAUAGAUAUCACGAGGAACUCCGAUUGCGCAGGCAGCUUACUAAACUACUACUGACGCUCAAGCACGAAGGCGUGGGGAUCAAACAGGAUUAGAUACCCUGGUAGUCCACGCAGUAAACGAUGAUUACUAGCUGUUUGCGAUACAAUGUAAGCGGCUGAGCGAAAGCGUUAAGUAAUCCACCUGGGGAGUACGUUCGCAAGAAUGAAACUCAAAUGAAUUGGCGGGG